GGCCUUGUGGUCUAGUGGUAUGAUUCUCGCUUUGGGUUCAACAGCUCAGAUUGCGAGAGGCCCCGCGUUCGAAUCGCGGCAGGGCCC